UAGACCUGCCUGGUCCCCGUGGUAGCUAUUCCAGGAACCUGUACAGCAAGGGCAGUGCCAGCAAGACAUCUGAGCUCCUGUACCUCUGGUGGAUUGGAUGUUUCUCUUCCCUGUUGAGCUCUUUCCUAUUGACUCCAGGGACUCUAGAGCCACAUCAAAGUUGCCCACCUGUCCUGAAAGCUGUUUUUCCACAAUAUCAGAAUUUAUUGACUAACAAUAAAUUUACAUGCUAUAUCAGCAAUGUCAAAUCAUUGACAACUGAUGAAAAUUUCCUUCCUCUGGAACUGUCUCAGAGAUGAGGCGUUUGGAGAGGUCCUGGAGCCCAGCAAUGUUGUGGUAAAGGGAAAACAAGAUGAAGGCCAUGAUUUGAGGUAAGUGAUGACCUCAGUCCAUGAGUGUUCACUGGGAUCUGGAGGUGUUUGAGGGUGAGUUCCCCUGGAUCCUACCAGAAGACCAGAAGGAUAUCUGUAAGAGGCUCAUGGGAAUAGGCUAUUUGAGCUUCUGGGGGUGGAGCAGUUUUAACUUUG